rnacentral:piRNA from 1 species
CAUAGAGCCACAUGUUCCCCAGA